UAGUCGGUGUUAAUAUACGACCCGACUAGCAGCUUCCGGGAAACCAAAGUUUUUCGUUUCCGGGGGAAGUAUGGUUGCAAAGCUGAAACUUAAAGGAAUUGACGGAAGGGCACCACCAGGAGUGGAGCCUGCGGCUUAAUUUGACUCAACACGGGAAAACUCACCCGGCCCGGACACCGUAAGGAUUGACAGACUGAGAGCUCUUUCUUAAUUCGGUGGGUGGUGGUGCAUGGCCGUUCUUAGUUGGUGGAGCGAUUUGUCUGGUUAAUUCCGAUAACGAACGAGACUCUGGCCUAUUAAAUAGUCGGUAUAUCCGGAAAAGUUUACCGUACUUCUUAGAGGGACAAACGGCGUCUAGCCGCGUGAAAUAGAGCAAUAACAGGUCUGUGAUGCCCUUAGAUGUCCGGGGCUGCACGCGCGCUACACUGAAAGAAUCAGUAUGCGCUUUAACCUAGUCCGGAAGGAUUGGGUAACCCGAGCAAAUUCUUUCGUGCUUGGGAUAGGGAAUUGCAAUUAUUUCCCUUAAACGAGGAAUUCCCAGUAAAUGCGGGUCAUAAGCUCGCGUUGAUUAC
rnacentral:rRNA from 2 species